GUAGAUUGAAACUAGAACAUCAUUUAUUUCAUUACAUGUACUUUAUAUAAUGUAUUUUGAUUUAGAUUGAGGUGUUUGUGUUUUUAAUUGCAUCACAUCAGUCAAGUCUGACCUUGUCAUUGACCUUUGCUUGACUCAUGGACAUACAAUGAGUUUGGUCCCAGGUCUGACUUCUAACGAGAUAGCAAUCUGAAUGCUGCUUAGAUAAUAAAAUAAUUAGCAUCUUAUUGCCACCAUAUACAGUUGUAGCUCUGACAGCCUCAUUGACCCCGCUGAGAUACGCUUCAUAGAAGUGCCUUUGAUACACUGUACGAUUAUGUUAAUUAUUAGGUAAAAUGAGAUGCUAUCAUAAACUGCUGCUGAAUUAUACUCCAAUAAAUGUAUUAAAUCAUCCCUGUCCUCACUCACCUCCUGCGUCAGACUUACACUACAGGGUUGAGAACAAGAGCAGAGCUUCAGCAGGGGCAGUGGUCCAUGACUAACCUUUAGCAUGCCUGUGUUUACUGUUUGGAUCAUCUCUUAAUUUUGUGUUGCUGUUAAAAAUAGAAAUUCCUAAUAAGUAAAGGAAGUACAGGAAGAAACCAUGUAGUCACCAUGUUUUUAGGACAACCUGUCCUAAAAACAUGGUGAGUACAUGGUUACAGUUCAUGGUUUCAGUUCAGGUACAGUGGUGACUAAAUAUGGAAACUUCCUGAAAAUUGAACUGUUGAUAACAACAGUGAUAUUGAUUAGGUAAUGACAAUUAGUGCCGUUAAUAAGUAAGUAUAAGGAGAUCAAAGUCAUGAUGUGUUAUGACAAAAUUAAAUUGUCAUUCUGUGCUAUUAUCCACCAUUUGACUUGUACUAAGACUCUAAGAAUGUAGUGAGUGGAAAAACAAUUCAACAAACAGCCUGACCUUAUGUCUGCUUGUCAUUGAUGGGAGAUGCUCCUCAUUAUCUUUUCUCCGUUUUCUCUAAGACUGAGUUUCUGUUAGGCCAAGUAUCCAACUCACUAUAAAUGUAACUUGUACUCAUUUACAUCUUGAUUAAAACUAGUGCUGUCAAGAUUGAUCUAAAUAUAACAAUUUUACACAGUGUAUGAAGUAGGAAGUCUGUUCUUUUCUCCCAUCAGUUUGUGGAACAUUCUGUCAGGGUUCAGUCUAAUACCAAGUUCACCUCGUCUAAAAAAAGAAAAUCAAUCCACUGUGCAGCACACUCAUCAUGAUUAGGUCACCCAAUGGCGUAAAAAAAAACCCAACAACUUCUCCACCUUCUUCACACUUUACUUGCGUCCUUUCAGUCAGUUCUCCCUGGAGGGUUUGCAUAGCUGCAGCUGUAGCAACAGGUCAAGGUCGGGGUUGACAGAUAGCAUUAGGUGAGACAGGGCAGACACUCACACUCUGGCUCAUGUCUUUAGUCCUCAGUCUUUUUUUUUUCAGCUUCUUUUUGUAAACUUCUGAGACAUGAGGAUUGAAGGAAGUCGGCGAUGAAGAUGGUUUCUCUUUGAUGUCUGGCGAUUCAGUGUACGGUUAACAAAGAUGGACAAUGUUGACACCCGUUGGUCUCACAGGAAGUGCGGUCGGAUGAUAUCCUGUGUCGCAAGGCCAGAGGGAAACAGGAGGAUUUGAUUCUCUCGCUCGACCAGGCGAGACCACUCCGUGAUGAGGUGCUGAUGUCCAACAGAGCUGUAGAAGUCACAUCCACAUUUUUCAUCUCACCUGGAGGAUACUAUUACCACACUGACAGAAGGCGGCUGAUAUUUAGCUGAGCCUUUCUGCUCUGCGCAGAGAUCAAAGUUAAGACCUGGCCCGUGGUGGUGGUGGUGGAGGUGAUGCUGCUUGACUGACAAUGCAGCGACCAUACGUUUGAUAUGGCUUCUCUACAGGAAGUCUAGAGGAGGUGGUGAUAUUGCAGUACGGAGUCUGACAGCUACUGUUACAACUCAAAGAAAAGGACAGUUGAGCAUGACUUUUUUAGCCAAGCUGUACGGAGGUCGCCAUGAUGGGGUGCCAUGGCUGCAGUCUGACCUGGUGCUACCCCUCGCCUUUUACCCAUGGGGCUGUCAUGGUACCUUUGCGGUUGAUGGAUUUUCUUCCACUGAUUUGAAAGACGUGAGCAGAUCCCUCUGAGGUGAAGACGGUGAGGUGGACCUUCACUUGCUAUUACGCAGGACAUCAAAAAAACUGUUCAAAGAAGCUCAGCGUCGUCUCUUCACUGUCAAGGUUGCUGGCACGUCCAGAGACAGCGAGUCAUUGGCUCCAUCUCACACUGGCUUAACCUUACAGUACCGAGCCCCUGCUGACAGUCAGUGAUGGACAAGCUCCUUGAACAUUAAAGGGAGCUAAGCUACUAGCUCCUUUACAAUAAAUGAAGGCUCAGCUCACAGAUGUUGCCAGAACGAAAAGUGCAGCGAGGUAGUUAUACGUUGAAUAGACUCAGCAGGAACCAAGUAGUCGACUACAUCUGAUGGUACUGUGGACCAAAUCAGAUGAAUGAUGGUUCAGGUGGGACGGCCAUCGUCUUCAUUUUGGAGUCAUCAGUGGGAGCUGACACGUGGGUUUUUCACCAAACAUGCUGUGUUUUUCCUGCAUUCGCUGAUGGUUUCACAAAGGUUCUUCACUAGUCUGCCUGCAGUAGUGAUCCAGUGAGUGAUGAAGACUACAGAGCAGCUCACACCGGAAUUCAACAAGAAGAGAAACAUUGUCAUGAACCCACAAGGUCAAAUAAAGACUGAGAGGUUAUCACAGGACUGUACCAGACCGUCCAGCAGAACUGAACCUACUUUCUGUGGCAGAUCCAGCCGACACUGCUGGUACAUCACGGCAGCCUUCACCUCAUUGAACACAAACAAGGGGAGAGGAUUCAAAGCCGUAUAGAAAGACCAUCAGGAGUCACCAGGAGCCAGACCUGUGAUCGUCCUGCUGUCAGCGUUUUAAAAGGUGGACACGGCAACAUGAGAACCUGUAGCCAGGAGAACACGUGGGCGGACCAGACUGGGGAAUACCAUCGGGGUGGCCUUAAUGAUGUUUGUUUCCAACAUGAAAACACUUCAGCAGCCAGUGAUACAUGAGCCCACACUGUGCUCUUUGUCUCAGACCACAUUUCCUUGGUGUAAUCAGCGAUGUGUCAAAGAAACUAGUCUAUGGCCAGAUUGGAGGGGUUUCCAGGCCGGAUUCUGCACACGAGCCACCAGUUGAUGAGCGCUGCUGUACACAUGCCUCCAAAGGACAAAGGAGUUGUAACGAUGUGGAAUGUGAGAUACGAGAUUGCAACCUUUUUUAUGUUUCUGUCACUUUAUCACUCCACUGUCACUCUAUCCUGUUCCGUUGUCUUAUAUCGAGGGUGAAAGCAUGUUUAGGACAGGGAGAGGGAGAGAGAGAAACUGAGAGAGGUCAUUCAUGGCUGUCUGUCCAUAGCAAUUACAUUAACCAGGACAGUGUGUCUGUUUUGGUUGUUAGUGUUAGCUAGGGCUGCCGCGUCCCUCUGCACUGUCUUUACAACUGAUCGACUCUCCCCCGAGAGCCACUUAGUCUGUCCUCCAUCCAGCCUCUUGAGUUACAGCUCACACACCCACCCACACACACACAUACACACAUACACAUGCUCCCGUCAGAGAAGUCACCAUCUGGGCACUCAAACAUACACAUACACAAACACGCAUACACAUAGGCAACAAUGGAACACAUGGAAAUACUCAAAAAUAUCUGGUACUUCUCCAGUAUAUAUCUUCAAGCAUGACAAUGCAUGUGGUGUCCUGUUGACCCUUCAAGGUCAUGUCAUACCUCAGAGGUCUGCAGUCCAGAGAUACGACAUAAGAUGUGCUUUUAGUUCAAGCUCUUUGCAGUAAUCACAGAAGGCAGCAGAUGGUGAUAGAAUUCAGUUACGUAGGUGAGUGAAAUACAGCAAGUGGUUGGAAGUUUGUGAUUCUACGUACUAUUGAUGCAGUUCAUUGUAUGAAAAAUCAAAUAUAUCUGCAGCUAGACAGUGAUUCACAGUAAACUGACCUGGAACAAGGUUCAUUCUGUUCUUAUUUAAACUGCCAUUCUCUACUACAAUAAGCGCAGUCAUGGUCCUGCUAAAAAUAUUUUUGAGUUCCUGGGAAAAGACAUUGUAUUAAAGGUAUCGCUUGUCUUUCUAAGAAUAUAAAAAAGUCCUCCAUAUGAAGGGAGCCUUCACAAAAGUUUAAACUUUGAACAUGUUAA